UACGAAGGGGGCUAGCGUUGUUCGGAAUUACUGGGCGUAAAGCGCGUGUAGGCGGGUCUUUAAGUCAGGGGUGAAAUGCCAGGGCUCAACCUUGGAACUGCCUUUGAUACUGGAGACCUUGAGUCCGGGAGAGGUGAGUGGAAUUGCGAGUGUAGAGGUGGAAUUCGUAGAUAUUCGCAAGAACACCAGUGGCGAAGGCGGCUCACUGGCCCGGAACUGACGCUGAGACGCGAAAGCGUGGGGAGCAAACAGG
rnacentral:rRNA from 1 species